rnacentral:rRNA from 1 species
AACGAACGCUGGCGGCAGGCUUAACACAUGCAAGUCGAACGCGUGCAGCAAUGCACGAGUGGCUCACGGGGGAGUAACGAGUGGAGAUCUGCCUGUUGGUUCGGAAUAACCCCGGGAAACUGGGUCUAAUACCUGAUGGUUCCUACGGGAUAAAGAUUUAUCGCCAAAGGAUGAGUCCGCGUCCGAUUAGCUAGUUGGUGAGGUAAUGGCUCACCAAGGCGACGAGCGGUGGCUGGUCUGAGAGGACGAUCAGCCACACUGGGACUGAGACACGGCCCAGGAUCCUACGGGAGGCAGCAGUGGGGAAUACUGGACACUGGGGGCAACCCUGAUCCCGCCACGCCGGGUGAGAGAUGAAGGCCUUCGGGUUGUAAAGCUCUCUUGGCCGGGACGAUGAUGACGGUACCGGGAGAAUAAGCCCCGGCUAACUUCGUG